rnacentral:rRNA from 1 species
UACGAAGGGGGCUAGCGUUGCUCGGAAUCACUGGGCGUAAAGCGCACGUAGGCGGAUUGUUAAGUCAGGGGUGAAAUCCUGGAGCUCAACUCCAGAACUGCCUUUGAUACUGGCGAUCUUGAGUGCGAGAGAGGUGAGUGGAACUGCGAGUGUAGAGGUGAAAUUCGUAGAUAUUCGCAAGAACACCAGUGGCGAAGGCGGCUCACUGGCCCGGUACUGACGCUGAGGUGCGAAAGCGUGGGGAGCAAACAGG